UACAGAGGUCUCAAGCGUUGUUCGGAUUCAUUGGGCGUAAAGGGUGCGUAGGCGGCGCGGUAAGUCGGGUGUGAAAUCUUGGAGCUUAACUCCGAAACUGCAUUCGAUACUGCCGUGCUUGAGGACUGGAGAGGAGACUGGAAUUUACGGUGUAGCGGUGAAAUGCGUAGAUAUCGUAAGGAAGACCAGUGGCGAAGGCGGGUCUCUGGACAGUUACUGACGCUGAGGCACGAAGGUCAGGGGAGCAAACGGG
rnacentral:rRNA from 1 species